UACAGAGGGUGCAAGCGUUAAUCGGAAUUACUGGGCGUAAAGGGUGCGUAGGCGGCAAUACAAGUUAGGUGUAAAAGACCCGGGCUUAACCUGGGAGCUGCGCUUAAGACUGUAUAGCUAGAGUACUGAAGAGGAGAGUGGAAUUUCCGGUGUAGCGGUGAAAUGCGUAGAUAUCGGAAGGAACACCAGUGGCGAGGGCGACUAUCUGGUCAGACACUGACGCUGAGGCACGAAAGCAUGGGUAGCAAACAGG
rnacentral:misc_RNA from 1 species